CUUUUGACCUCGGAUCAGGUAGGGAUACCCGCUGAACUUAAGCAUAUCAAUAAGCGGAGGAAAAGAAACCAACAGGGAUUGCCCUAGUAACGGCGAGUGAAGCGGCAACAGCUCAAAUUUGAAAUCUGGCUCUUUUAGAGUCCGAGUUGUAAUUUGCAGAGGGCGCUUUGGCUUUGGCAGCAGUCCAAGUUCCUUGGAACAGGACGUCACAGAGGGUGAGAAUCCCGUACGUGGUCGCUGGCUAUUGCCGUGUAAAGCCCCUUCGACGAGUCGAGUUGUUUGGGAAUGCAGCUCUAAAUGGGAGGUACAUUUCUUCUAAAGCUAAAUAUUGGCCAGAGACCGAUAGCGCACAAGUAGAGUGAUCGAAAGAUGAAAAGCACUUUGGAAAGAGAGUCAAACAGCACGUGAAAUUGUUGAAAGGGAAGCGCUUGCAGCCAGACUUGCUUACAGUUGCUCAUCCGGGUUUCUACCCGGUGCACUCUUCUGUAGGCAGGCCAGCAUCAGUUUGGGCGGUAGGGUAAAGGUCUCUGUCACGUACCUCCUUUCGGGGAGGCCUUAUAGGGAAGACGACAUACUACCAGCCUGGACUGAGGUCCGCGCAUCUGCUAGGAUGCUGGCGUAAUGGCUGUAAGCGGCCCGUCUUGAAACACGGACCAAGGAGUCUAACAUCUAUGCGAGUGUUUGGGUGUCAAGCCCGAGCGCGUAAUGAAAGUGAACGGAGGUGGGAACCCGCAAGGGUGCACCAUCGACCGAUCCUGAUGUCUUCGGAAGGAUUUGAGUAAGAGCAUGGCUGUUGGGACCCGAAAGAUGGUGAACUAUGCUUGAAUAGGGUGAAGCCAGAGGAAACUCUGGUGGAGGCUCGCAGCGGUUCUGACGUGCAAAUCGAUCGUCAAAUUUGGGCAUAGGGGCGAAAGACUAAUCGAACUAUCUAGUAGCUGGUUCCUGCCGAAGUUUCCCCUCAGGAUAGCAGUAACGUAUUCAGUUUUAUGAGGUAAAGCGAAUGAUUAAAG
rnacentral:rRNA from 1 species